GCAGCGAUACUGACGUGCAA
rnacentral:siRNA from 1 species